rnacentral:rRNA from 1 species
AAUAGAUACCCCGGUAGUCCACGCCGUAAACGAUGAGUGCUAAGUGUUAGAGGGUUUCCGCCCUUUAGUGCUGAAGUUAACGCAUUAAGCACUCCGCCUGGGGAGUACGGUCGCAAGACUGAAACUCAAAGGAAUUGACGGGGGGCCCGGCACAAGCGGUGGAGCAUGUGGUUUAAUUCGAAGCAACGCGAAGAACCUUACCAGGUCUUGACAUCCUCUGACAACCCUAGAGAUAGGGCUUUCCCUUCGGGGACAGAGUGACAGGUGGUGCAUGGUUGUCGUCAGCUCGUGUCGUGAGAUGUUGGGUUAAGUCCCGCAACGAGCGCAACCCUUGAUCUUAGUUGCCAGCAUUCAGUUGGGCACUCUAAGGUGACUGCCGGUGACAAACCGGAGGAAGGUGGGGAUGACGUCAAAUCAUCAUGCCCCUUAUGACCUGGGCUACACACGUGCUACAAUGGACGGUACAAAGAGUCGCAAGACCGCGAGGUGGAGCUAAUCUCAUAAAACCGUUCUCAGUUCGGAUUGUAGG